GAGUAUGAGAAGGCAUACCCGGGGAACUGAAACAUCUAAGUACCCGGAGGAAGAGAAAGCAAAUGCGAUUCCCUGAGUAGCGGCGAGCGAAACGGGAACAGCCCAAACCAAGAGGCUUGCCUCUUGGGGUUGUAGGACACUCUAUACGGAGUUACAAAGGAACGAUAUAAGCGAAGAGGUCUGGAAAGGCCCGCCAAAGAAGGUAACAGCCCUGUAACUGAAAUGUUGUUCUCUCCAGAGUGGAUCCUGAGUACGGC
rnacentral:rRNA from 1 species